GGCCUGGAAAGGCGUAUGUGCGUAAGUUGUAUAUUGGGGAACUCACUAAGCAUUUAUGCUUACAGUUGUUGUGCAUGUAUUUCAGGUACUAGUGAGGACCGUGGGAAGGCGCCGGCAUGAUCGAUACACACUGAAGAUUGUCUUUAUGAUCUUGGGAUUUUGAAUAAAUGUAUUUGACAGAAUACUUAACUACUUAUGCCUUGUUUUAAAUGGAAUUAAUUAUGUUUUAAAAAUGAAAAAUUUGUUUGAAAAAUUUGAGUUGUUACAAUUGGUAUCAGAGCCUUGGUUUGAGGGAUUCGGGUGCACCUUCGGGGGUAACUGAACUCAAACCGAGGAUUUGAGGAAACUUUUCAAAUAAAGGCAUAAACUUUUGUAAAUGGUUUUGUGGUAAGCAAGAAAGAAGCAGUGUGUACGAUCAGUCAGCGCCCGAACGGUAAAGAUCCCCAAAAUACCUUACAAUAUUAUAUGAUAUGAAUUGUUAUGCAUGCUAGAAGACUAGGUAUUCAUGAUAGGACUAGAGUGGCCUGAUUUGUGAUGCCUUAGUCUAGGGAAGUUGCCUAUAUGAGAUGCUUUGCUAGUAUGCGGGUAGAUAGAGCGUAUCAGAAGUAGAGUACUCACUAUCCGGAGUUUGGGGAGGAGGACUUGGGAUGAACAUUGAUGCGGUGUGGUCGGUAGUAUUGGGCCCGUACUACCGAGGACACCGGGUCAGUGGGAGGCCCAAGUAAGAAUCCCUGGAUAUCUGGGACUGAGUAGGGUUGCGUGUCGAGUACGAUUAUACUCGGUAGAAUCUCUGAUAGUUUUAUGUUGUAUUUCAGAGAUAUCAUGGUUAGACCGCGGCACGGGGCAAGUACGAGCGGUGUGAGUGACGAGGAUAUUCGUCAGAUGAUCCACGAGGAGGUGGCGGCGGCGAUCCGGGCUGAGAUCCCGGAGAUGUUUGGGUCUAUCAAGACCACCCUGAUGGAGACGUUCGACGAGCGGUACGCCGCAUUGACUGAGGCUGCAACCGCUGCAGCUACCGCAGCUGUGGCCGCUGCUAGGCCACAGGGGGGUGAUUCAUUGCUGUUCCGAGAGUUCAGCAACACGAAGCCACCAGAGUUCGAUGGGACGCAGGAUCCGAUUGCUGCGAUGAGGUGGAUCGCAGAUAUAGAGGGGUGCUUCUACACUUGUUCAUGCCCGGAGCACCUGAGGGUACGGUUCGCUUUGAACCAGCUCCGUCUGGGAGCAAAGGACUGGUGGAAGUUCGUGACGGCGAACUUCACUUUGGCAGAGACUGCGGCAGUGACAUGGGAGGGGUUCACUACCAUGUUCAGGGAGGAGUACGUUCCCCCGGUGGAGCGGGAACGAUUGGUUCAGGAGUUCUUAACCCUCAAGCAGGGUACUGAUUCGGUGGCGGCGAUCACGCGGAAGUUCCAUGAGAGGGCGAUGUUUUGCCCCGAGCUGGUGGCCACAGAGCAGGCUCGGAUGAGCCGGUACUUGGGUGUUCUGAGGAGGGAGAUCCGGGAGUUUGUGUCAAACUCCACUUACCAUACUUUUACUGAGCUUCAGGCGAAUGCCAGGAAGCGUGAGAUCGAGUUAGAGACUCAGGCCAGGGAGGAGGCCGAGUCUCAGCAGGCAGACCGGCGGCCGGCUCAGUCUCAGCCGGCAGCCAAGCGGAUCAAGUCCGCCGAUUCGAGGACGGGAGGUUCGAAGAACCGCACUUGCGUAAAGUGCGGUAAGGGUCACGAUGGGGCGUGUCGAGCCGGUGCUUGCUACAAGUGUGGCAAGGAGGGACACAUUGCUAGGGAGUGUCCCAAGGGAUUUAUGGUUUGCUUUCAUUGCAACCAGACCGGCCAUCGGAAGGCCGAGUGCCCUCAGCUUCGUCAGGGAUCUGCACCUGUUGCCAGGACUACUGAGACUCGACCGGUGAAGGUCGAGGCCCCGAGGGCUCGUGGGAGAGCCUUUCAGCUGACUGCGGAGGAGGUCCGCGCUGCGCCCGAUGUUGUGGCAGGUAUGUUGUAAUUCAUGUAUUUAUUUUAAUGUCAAGAUGUUAUGCUUAUGUUAUUAUAUGCGUAGGUACUUUCCUUGUGAACUCUGUGCCUGCCUUAGUGUUAUUUGACUCGGGUGCGAGUAGGUCCUUUGUGUCCUUAGCCUUUAGUCAGCAUAUCGGCGUUAGUCGUGAGUCGUUGAGUCGACCUUUGAGAGUUUCUAUAGCUGACGAGAAGGUGAUUUGUGCUACGGAGGUUCUUCGGGGAUGUGUACUAGAGAUUUUCGGGGUUGGAUUCCCGAUUGAUCUGAUUCCUAUCGCGAUGGGGGAUGUCUGUGUCAUCGUGGGCAUGGACUGGCUGAGCCGGUUCGGCGCUGUCAUCGACUGUGAGCGUCAGUUGGUGACUAUACGAGACCCUAGAGGGGGAGUUCUUUCGGUAUACGGCGAGGGUACCCGUUCGGGAUCAGCUUUUUGUUCGGCCGCUAGGGCGAGGCAGUGUCUACGGCAGGGCUGUAAAGGUUUUGUGGCGUAUGUGAUGGAUACGCGGGAGGUUUCCGAGAAACCGAAGUCAGUUGAGGAAGUUCCGGUGGUGCGCGAAUUUUCAGAUGUCUUUCCCGAGGAGUUGCCGGGAGUACCGCCUGUGAGGCAAGUAGAGUUUAGUAUUGAUCUGGUUCCGGGGGCAGCACCUAUUGCUAAAGUGCCCUAUCGUCUUGCACCUCCAGAGAUGCAAGAGUUGUCCUCGCAACUCCAGGAGUUGCUGGGGAAGGGAUUCAUUCGGCCGAGCAGCUCGCCAUGGGGAGCACCUAUUCUGUUCGUCAAGAAGAAGGAUGGUUCACACCGGAUGUGCAUUGAUUACCGGGAGUUGAACAAGCUAACGGUCAAGAACCGUUACCCGUUGCCGAGGAUCGAUGAUUUAUUCGAUCAGUUGCAGGGAGCAUCUUGGUUUUCCAAGAUCGAUCUGAGGUCAGGAUACCAUCAGGUGAGAGUACGGGAUGAAGACGUCCAGAAGACAGCGUUUAGGACGCGAUAUGGACAUUAUGAGUUUGUGGUGAUGCCUUUUGGACUCACCAAUGCCCCGGCUGUGUUCAUGGAUCUCAUGAACAGGGUAUGCAGGCCGAUGUUGGAUCGGUCAGUGAUCGUAUUUAUCGACGACAUUCUGGUGUAUUCGAGAUCGAGAGAGCAGCAUGAGGAGCAUUUGAGGGAGGUCCUUGAGGUAUUGAGGUCGGAGAAACUUUAUGCAAAGUUCUCCAAAUGUGACUUCUGGUUGCGGGAGGUCCAGUUUCUAGGACAUGUGGUUAAUCAGAAAGGGAUAUUGGUCGAUCCGGCCAAGGUUGAGGCGGUGAUGAGUUGGGAGGUGCCGAAGUCACCCUCUGAGAUCAGAAGUUUCCUUGGGUUGGCAGGGUAUUAUCGGAGAUUUAUCAAGGAUUUCUCCAAGAUCGCAGUGCCACUCACCAGAUUGACCCGGAAGGGUGUUACGUUCUCAUGGGGGCCCGAGCAGCAGACCUCCUUUGAGACACUUCGCCAGAGAUUGUGCGAAGCCCCGGUAUUAGCUCUCCCAGAAGGGAUGGAAGAUUUCGUGGUAUAUUGCGACGCAUCGAUUUCGGGAUUGGGUGCAGUGUUGAUGCAGAGGGGUCAUGUGAUAGCUUAUGCGUCGAGGCAGCUGAAGCCUCAUGAGGCGAGAUAUCCCACGCAUGAUUUAGAGUUGGGGGCAGUAGUGUUCGCUCUCAAGAUUUGGCGUCACUACUUGUAUGGGGUUCGAUGUACGAUAUACACGGACCAUAAGAGUUUGAAGUAUUUGAUGGAUCAACCCAACCUAAAUAUGCGUCAGAGGAGGUGGUUGGAUGUGGUCAAGGAUUAUGAUUGUGAGAUCCUGUACCACCCAGGCAAGGCUAAUGUGGUAGCCGAUGCAUUGAGUCGCAGGGCGGAGAGCACUCCAUUGCGAGACGUAUGCUUGAGACUGACUGUGAUGACUCCAGUAUUGGACGCUAUUCGUGGGGCCCAGGCAGAGGCUGUGCGACCAGAAAUGCAGAAGAAAGAGCGGGUUGUGGGGUUAAUCUCAGAGUUUGUCAAGGAUAGUCGAGGCCUUAUGACGUUUCAGGGUCGGAUUUGGGUACCGUUCGUGGGCGGUACGCGUAUUACGUUGAUGGAAGAGGCUCAUAGAUCGAAAUUCUCGAUCCAUCCCGGUGCUACAAAGAUGUAUUUGGAUUUAAGGAAGGAAUAUUGGUGGCCCUGUAUGAAGAGGGACGUGGCAUGGUUCGUUGAGAGGUGCUUGACCUGCCGUAGGGUUAAGGCUGAGCACCAGAGACCGCAUGGCAAGUUACAGCCAUUGGAGAUCCCCGAGUGGAAGUGGGAACAGAUCACUAUGGAUUUUAUCACCAAAUUGCCGAGGACUGCUAGGGGAGUUGACGCAAUUUGGGUGAUCGUGGAUAGGUUGACAAAGAGUGCACACUUCCUUGCCAUCAGUGAGAGUUCUUCGGCGGAGAAAUUGGCGGAGAUAUACGUGAGAGAGGUGGUAUCUCGGCACGGGGUGCCGAUCUCGAUUGUGUCAGACCGUGAUGUGCGCUUUACUUCCAGAUUCUGGAAGAAAUUCCAUGAGGAGCUGGGUACUAAAUUGCAUUUUAGUACCGCAUACCAUCCCCAGACAGACGGUCAGAGCGAGCGGACGAUUCAGACGCUGGAGGACAUGCUCCGAGCGUGUGUGUUAGACUUCGGGGGUAGUUGGGAUGCGUAUUUACCAUUGGCAGAGUUUUCCUACAACAACAGCCAUCAUUCGAGCAUUGGUAUGCCACCUUUCGAGCUGUUGUAUGGUAGGAGGUGUCGGACCCCCAUUUGCUGGGGAGAGGUGGGACAGAGAGUGAUGGGCAGCACGGAGAUCGUGCUCCAGACGACAGAGCAGAUUCAGCGAGUGAGACAAAGGUUAUUGACUGCCCAGAGCCGACAGAAGAGUUAUGCAGACAGGCGCCGAUCCGAGCUUGAAUUUCAGGUCGGCGACUUCGUUCUCCUGAAGGUCUCUCCUUGGAAAGGAGUGAUUCGAUUCAGGAAGAGGGGCAAGUUGGGGCCCCGGUAUAUUGGGCCAUUUCGUGUGAUUGCAAGGAUAGGCCGGGUAGCCUAUCGGUUGGAGUUGCCAGCGGAGUUGGGUCAGAUCCAUGACACUUUUCAUGUGUCGCAGUUGAGGAAGUGCAUAGCCGAUGAGUCGGCAGUGGUUCCAUUGGAGGAUAUUCAGGUGGAUGCGAGCCUGAAUUACGCGGAGAGACCAGUGGCUAUCAGGGAUCGGAAGAUCAAGGUUCUGAGGAACAAGGAGGUACCUCUGGUGUUGGUUCAAUGGCAACACCGUAAGGGAUCGGAAAUGACUUGGGAACCGGAACGCGAGAUGCGGGAGCAGCAUCCGGAACUAUUUGCAGAGUGAGACUUCGAGGGCGAAGUCUAAUCCAAGUGGGGGAGAGUUGUAACAGCCCGAAAUCUCAGGUAUUGUUUAAUUAUGUUUUUGGGGUGAGUUGAGAGGGGACUCGGCGAGUUGGAGCCUAGACUCGCCGAGUAGGAUCGCAGACUUGGUCGCGGGUCCGCGACUGGACUCGACGAGUCCAGGUAUGGACUCGGCGAGGCGACGCUGUUCAGCAGAAACCCUAACCGUUCAGUUUGGAUCGUAUUUAACGCCUCUUAGGCCGUCAUUUUCAGUCUUUUGGUCAAUUGAGAGGAACCCUAAUCGCUGUGGACGCCUAGAGCAAGGGAGAAAGCUUUGGAACUUGGAAGAAUUGGUUAGGCAAGAAGAAGAGGGAUUUGGCUAAAGGAAUAUCAAGGAGGAUUGAGUCCUGAGAUUUGGGGGACACAGAGAGUGCGUUUUCAGGUAAUACUCGGACCAAAUCUGUUAUUUUGAUGUAUUUAUGAAAUUAGGGUUUAUAGAACCCAUUUAGUGAUUUGAUGAAGUAAUGCCUUGUUACCCCACGAUUAUAGUCUUGUAUUAGGACCUUUAGAGGUCCAGAAGGUCCCAUGCAUGUGUACUUCGGGACGAGACCUAUCUCAGGAAGCAGUUACUCGUCUGCAUGGCAUGGACUCGCCGAGUUGUUCUUCAGACUCGGCGAGUAGCUUGAAGAUUUACUGGGACUCGCCGAGUUGUUCAUCAGACUCGGCGAGUGGAGUCGGGGUGGCCCCGCGAUUCUUCCACGAGGACCUCGUCGAGUCAAGAGGGAUACUCGACGAGUAGAAAGGGAAUAUUCAGGAAUUUGUGAGGACGACUAGACUCGCCGAGUCGCCAUGGUACUCGCCGAGUCCAGUCGAGUUGACCGUUGACCGUUGACCAGAGUUGACCUAAGUCUGACUUCUUAGGGAUAGUCACACUUAGAUGAUAUGAGUGCUAAUGAGUUAUGUAAUGUUAUAGGAGGGUUGUAGCUCGUUGGUUUGUGCACGAGUGAUUUCAGGAGUUGCUAGCUUUCAGCAUUUACGAGGUGAGUCUUCUCACUAUACUGUACCCGGAAGGGUUUGACUGUGUGACCGGAAGGUCGGAUAUGAUAUGUGAUAUGUAUGCUAUAUGUGGUAUGUUAUAUGUUAUAUGUGCUAUGUAUGUUAUGGGCCGGAAGGCGAUUAUGUUAUGGGCCGGAAGGCGAUAUGAUGUGUGAUGGACCGGAAGGUCGGCGUGGGUAAGGCCGGAAGGUUUACCCAGCAGGGACGGAAGUCCCCUGAGACACAUGGACCGGAAGGUCGGGCCUGGAAAGGCGUAUGUGCGUAAGUUGUAUAUUGGGGAACUCACUAAGCAUUUAUGCUUACAGUUGUUGUGCAUGUAUUUCAGGUACUAGUGAGGACCGUGGGAAGGCGCCGGCAUGAUCAAUACACACUGAAGAUUGUUUUAUGAUCUUGGGAGUUUGAAUAAUUGUAUUGACCGAAUAAUUGAACUGUUUAUGCCUUGUUUUUAAUGGAAAUAAUUAUGUUUUAAAAAUGAAAAAUUUGUUUGAAAAAUUUGAGUUGUUACAACAUUCCACAUAGUUACGCAAGUGGAGGAUCGUUUUUGUAAGUAGAAUUUAUAUAGGACUUAUCCGCAUUAUUACUUGUAGAUUUGUUAUUCCUAUAAAUUGGAGACACGUCCUCGGUGAACACUCCACAGAGAUACGCGAGUGGAGGACCGUCCCCGUAACCAGAAUCUCUUAGAUAGGGAGCGUGACUUGAGUGUAUAGAUCUAUACGGGGCUGACUACCCCGCACCUGGCUGCUAGCUAUAGCCGAACCGAAAGGUUCAAGGGUGAUGAAAGUCAUAAAAUGAUUUGGACUGCUUAUUGCCAUAUCUAGUCUAUCGUAUGGAUAUGGAACUCGCAAUUUGGAUAACAGAAAUUUACUUGUUAGUUAUAAUGAAUAUAGUAAAUUAAUAACCUUUGAAAUUAGUUUACUAUGUUGAUAGUUUUAUAUAUGUUUUAAAACUAACAUACACUUCACAAGGAUAACUAGAUUUUCAGUAUACAUCGUUUACAUUGCAUUUCGGAUUGGUAAGCAACUUUUUAGGAAAAUAUAGGAUUCUCCUGGGGAAACGUUUGUACAUAACCAGAUUUGUGUAACAAUUCAGAUAACUAAACUUUACAAUUCACAAGGACAAUCAUGUUUUCAGAGUACGCCUUUUACAUUACAUUUUGGAUUUGAUAACCAACUAUUAAGAAAAUAUGGGAUUUUCUUGGAUAACCACUUUUUCAGAAAACUAAAGGAACCUUGUUCAUUUUCAUAAAACAAACCUCUUAUGAACUCACCAACUUUAUGCUGAUUUUUAAACUACUUGUAUUCUCAGGUUCUCCUUAGACAGGUAUUCCCGCUUUCUUUUGCAGAAGACGGAGUGUAUGGAGUCACGUCUUUCUUUUGUUUAACUUAUGUAUCUAUGAAACUUGUAUCACUUUACUUUUGAACAAAUGUAAUGAAAACUAUGUAAUGUAAUGUUUUGUGUUUUACUUCGCUUACUAUGUACAUUGGUUAUGAUAUUCAACAUGAAGCCACCUCCGCCCCGGAAUGUUUUCGCCCUGGGUUUCGGGGUGUGACAGAUUGGUAUCAGAGCCUUUGUUUAUAGUAAACUAAGUAUACCAAACUUUACAUGGUAUAAGACUAUAAACAUUAAAGGGCCUAAGUGCUCUGAACUAAAAGUAUACCUCGAAAUAUAAGUAUUUUCAAAAGUAUACAAGUAUACCUAACCGUCGAGAAUCAUAACUAUAAGUAGAACAAAACAUAAGUAAAUGGGUGUUGUACGCUGCAGUUAAACCUGGGCAGUUAUGUAGUCGUGUCUAGGAUCAAUAUAGCCUGAUCAACUAUAUUCAUUCGAGACACGACGAACAUGUGCUUGGGAGUGACUGUGGUAUGCGGCAUACCUAAAACUUACCCAAAUACACCAAACAUCGAGCCGUCAUCUCAACGAGUCAUGAAAUACUAUGGGGGUAUUUCUAGAUCCAAUUUUUGUUGUAGAAAAUUCUCGUUCAAGCGUUGCCCCUCGAUCAUUCCUUUAGCGAUAGAUUAUUUGCUUUGAUAAUUCAUUCUUGCUUUCUCGCUUAAUAGAAUUAUAUGUUUGUCAUAAAGAGAUAUCCCUUGUUUCAUAUCUCUUGAUUUAAUUCAGAGGAUUUACCAUCCUCUUUUCCUAAUCAUUUUAGAUCAAAAUGUCUUCAAAGAAAGGACCCAGUUCUAGGAACAACGACUCUCCGUCACCACCUCCUUCUCAAUUCGACCGUAGGAUGUUUCAGUUGGCUGUUUCAGCCGCAGUGGCGGUUACAAUGAAGGUAUUGUACCCUGACGAGUUCGAUGAACCAGGAUAUAACCUCUACCCCCAAAACCAUGAAGAUGAUCAAGGGCACCAGAACAAGAGUAAUCAGAGAAAGAAGAAGGUUUUCUGGAAAAAGCGAAAAGGUCAGAGUUCACAAGGACCCACCAAGAAGCUCAAAAUUGUGGUAGUCCAAAUUGCUACUAAUCCUGUCGUUGUUCCUAUAGUUCAAGCUACCACUACUCCUGUUGCUGCGUCUAUAGCUCUAGCACCUACCACUAGGUAUGUUGGUAAUCUCCCUUGGUGCAACAGGUGUAAUUAUCACCGUCGUAUUCCCGGCCCAUGUCGUGAGAAGGUUUGCAUCAGAUGUGGCAUGAAGGGCGACCUCGCUUGAAACUGCAAAACGUCAAUUCAAAUAAUCAAUCAAUCUUCCGGAUCGAGUACCGUACAAGCCUGUUAUAGUUGUAGAGAAAUCGGGCAUUUCAAGCGAAGCUGCCCAAAAGCAUCAACUAGCAACAACGUCAACAACACCGAGAUGGUUUUAGCUUUGAAGCAGGAGGAGGCAGCCACUGAUCCCACCAACGUCGUGGGUACAUUCCUUUUCGACAAUCCUUAUGCUCGUAUCCUUUUCGAAUUUGGUGUCAAUAAAGUGCUAUUAGUCAUUCAUUCAAAUAUCUUGUUAAACAUAAUCCUCGUCUAAUAAUCGAACCAUUUACCGUCAAAAUAGUUACCAGUGAGAAUGAGCGCACUAACGAUUUAUCCCUAAGUUGUAUCCUUACCUUGAGUAAUCUUUCUUUCCUCAUUGACCUAAUGCCAGUUUCAAUAAAGAGCUUUGAUGUUAUCUUUGGCAUGUAUCGAUUGAGUCUCGAUCGUGCUGAUAUGCUUUGUUAUGAAAAAGCUAUUCGUCUCAAUCUCCCCUCUGAUCAGAACCUCAUGACAUAUGGUGUCAAGCUUAGCUCAAAACUUCACAUCAUUCCCUACAUCAAAGCUCGAAAGUUUCUGCGAAAGGAGUGUCAGGUAUUCCUAGUUCAUGUAAUUAGCGAGAAGCAAGAAGAUAAAGACCCCGAGAGUGUCUCCGAAGACUGUAAUAUUCCUGAUAUCAUUUUGAAUAGAUCCCGAAAAAUUCCUCCUGAAUGCCAAGUUGAGUCUCGUAUCAACUUAAUCCCUGGAACUCCCCCCGUAGCCAAACCUCCGUAUCGUUUUGCUCUAGCAGAAAUGCAGGAGUUAUCCAGUCGGCUUAAUGAGUUGACCAUCAAAACCCAUAUCCUCUUUCCUUAAUUAGAUGACUUCUUCGAUAAUUUCUGGGAGCCAGCUACUUCUCGAAGAUAUACCUUAGGUCAAGACACCAUCAGCUACGAGUUCAUGAGAGUGAUGUUUCAAAGACAACAUUCAGGACUCGAUAUGAUCACUAAGAGUUCGUAUUGAUACCCUACGGUCAAACCAUUUUCCUUCGGUCAUGUAAUAGGCGAGGAAGACAUACGCGUGGAUCCUCCUAAGAACGAAACAAUAGAGAAUUGGUCGGCACCGAAGACACCCAUAGAAAACCUGUCAAUUCUUGGGUUUCGCCGACUAUUAUUGCAAACCCUUCCAGAAAAUUCUUCCAAAAUUAUCAAACCCUUAACCACUCUGACACAGAAAGGUGUACCCUUUUCAUUGGAGUGGAAAGCGAGAUACAUCAUUCCAAGCAAUGAAGUAAGACUUAUGCAUCACACCUAUCUUGUCCCUGCCAGAAGAGACAGACGACUUCAUUGUCCUUUGCAGUACACUCAAUCCGAGUUUAGACUAUGUAUUUAGACAACAAGACUAAGACAUUGACAAUGACCACCUGCCCCCGUUUACUCGCUCAGACCUGAGAAGCCUAGCCAGAAACCCUCGGGGCUGCUCCAGUAGCCUAGAUACCCGAAUGGGAAUGGUAAAUAACCAACAUGGAUUUCACCAUCACGUUACCCAGUUUUCCUGAACGUGUAUGAUACCAUUUGGGAAAAUUGUCGAUUCUUCGAUAAAAAUCCGCUCACUUCUCUCCGAUCAGAAAAUCAUUCAUGAUGAAAAUGCACACGCGAAACCACAUCCAAGAAGUAGUCCGACCGCAUAGUAUACAUACUUCCCUUAUCUUUGGUUGAGAUAACAGGAUUACCUCAAGAUUUAGGCAAGUCCCUUCAGAAAACUCACGGAACCAAGCUAGACACGGGUACAACUUAUCAUCCUCAGACAAAUGGACAGAGUGAGAAUGUAAUCCAGAUCAGGGAAAACAUACUAGGAGUAUGUGUCAUAAACUGCCGAGUAACUUGAAAUACCCCUUUACCUUUGACCGAGCCCUCGUAUAACAACAGUUAUUGUACCAGUAUCCAGACUGCACCAAUUGGAACCCUCUACAGUCAAAAGUACAGAUUCCCUUAUGUUGGACCGAGAUAGGAGUCACAUAGUUAGUCAAGAGUCGAUUACCCAGUAGUACCCUCACUGGUUCUGAAAUCAUCCGCGAAACCAUCGAGAAGAUCAUCCGGACCCGAGAUCGAUUGAAAGCUUCACUAGAUCGAUAGAAGAGUUACACCGGUAUACAACGGAAACCUCUGGAAUUCCAGGUUGGAGAUCGUGUCCUGUUAAUGGUCUCACCCUGGAAAGACACGAUACACUUUGGAAAGCAUGGAAAACUUAGCUUGUAGUACAUUAGAUCUUUCGAGAUCCUUGUUAGGAUCGAUCCCGUAACCUUUAAACUCCGAGUACCUUCAGAACUUAGCAACCUUCACCCUAUACCUUGUGUCUCUAUUCUUAAUGAAUACCUGUCUGAUAAAACCAUAGAAAUCUAUCCUGAUGUGACCAAGAACCAUGAUAUACCUAAACUUUCUGGACGAACAAACUAAGAUCAUAGACCAAGUAAUCAAACGUUUGAAACCGAGCCGCGUCUCGUUAGUGAAGGUUCGUUGGAAUGACAUGCGGAGACCUAAAAUCACUUGGGAUCAUGGAAGAUUCGAUGUAACAGAUAUAUCAGCACCUUUAUCCAUAAUUUGUACCUUAAUCUUUGAAUUUUGGGACGAAAUUCCCUCUAACGGGGGGAUAAUGUAACAACCUGAAAUUUGUUCCCUCGCCAUAACCGUUUCGUCAAUAAUUUAAGCCUUUUAUUUUGACCUCGUAAGUACCCAAACACAUUAGAAACACAAGUAAACACUUCAAACUAAUAAUUAUAAAAAUUUUAGUUUUGACCAUAUCGAGUUACGACAACUUAAUCGGGUGCGACCCAAUGCCUCGGUUAACGUCGGUAUCGGAUAAAAUUCCAUCGUGUCUCCAUUCCAAACCAUAUUUAAUAUUGUUUUAGACUCAUUUGAAGUCUUUUCACUCUCUCUCUAACCUCUCUCCUCAACUUAAACUUGUUGAUCCAAAAUCACUCAUUUCAAGCUUCAAAACACCAAGGUAACUAUCCUAGCUUCUAGUAUAACACUUCUAGCCUUCAAAUUCGAGUUUAAAUCAUGGAUUAGGACCAUUAUCAUGAGUUUACGGCCCUAGAACAGUCCUAGGCCAUGAACUCAUAUAAAAGGGGUUUUUGAGCCAUAAACCCUUCCAAACCUCAUUUGGAGCUUAGAUAUGACUUAGGGAAUUACCAAAUUGGACUUAAACACCUUGAACAUCAUUUUUGAGGAGUAAACAUGAGUUUACUGUCCAAGAACAUGCUUGGGCCGUAAACUCAUAUGCAUAGGGAGUAAACUCAUUUUAAUGUGUUAAGAUGCCACUUAAACACACCAUAAGCCUUGGAAUAAAUCCUAGAACCAACCAAAAUUGAUUUGGGGACCUUUAACUUGAUAAAAACCAUUCGUUUGAGAGUUUACGGCCAUAACCCCCCAAGGAUAGGUUCCAGGACCGUAAACUCCUAAACAUAAGUCAAAUGGUGCCCAAAAUUCAUCCUAAGGCUUGUAAAAAUUGUUUGAAUCGCAUGUGAUUGUCCUAGCAUCACCAAAUUACAUAAGAAUUGUGUGUGGGGGAGAUUACGGCUGUAAACUCCUAGUUUAGUGCUGUAAAAUCCAAUAAAUGGUCCAUUUGUGAGUUAAAACCCUUUCCAAUGCAUUAGACUCAAACCUAGAUUUAAUCCCCAAAUGUUUCAAGGCCAUUUUGCACCAUAAACCUCCCAUCCAUGAGUUCACGGCUGUGAACUCAUGUGAAUAUGGUGUUUAGGGCCAAAAACUCUUAUAAGAGUUUACUCUUGAAGAGUAAACUCCAUUCCUAAGCCAUACAAGUCCUUAGAUGUCACCCGGGUCACUCCAAACACUUGUUUUGAAGUGUUUUAGCUCAUUGGAGUGUAGUAUCCCAUCUAAUUAGUAUUUUUAAAUCUAAUUAGAUAUAUUUGGAUAUUAUUUCAUAUUACAUAGGAACCUCGCGUGUAAUCAAGCCCCGAACCAACGUUUAGUGUCCAAAACAGUUGCGUCUUCUCGUCUGGUGAGUUCAUACCCCUACCCUUUUUCAAUGGUUUUUCAAUGUUUUUCGGGGGGGGGGGGGAAUACAAGAAAAAGUACAAGAAUAUCUUGUGCUUAAAGAUUAUUAUUUUAUUUGAAAAGUUCCUUAUUUCACUUGCUUUUGACAAUUGAAAUCAUAUUAACCAACUGUUUGACUUGCAGAAUCAGUUACAAACCAAUUUCAUAACUUAUUAUAUAAUGUUAUAUUAUAUAUUUCACAAUUGAUUUGUUCCAUAUCAUUAUUGUUAGAAGGUUUAGAUUAGUACAUUCGUUUUGUCCUCGGUAACACUCCACAUAGUUACGUGAGUGGAGGAUCAUUUUUGUAAGUAGAAUUUAUACAGGACUUUUCCGCAUUAUGUAACAGCCCGAAAUUCCAGGUAUUGCUAUAUCUAUGAUUUUGGGUGUUUUAAGAGGGGACUCGGUGAGUUGGAGCCUAGACUCGCCGAGUAGGAUCGCGGAUCUGGUCGCGGGUUCGCGACUGGACUCGACGAGUCCGGAUAUGGACUCGGCGAGUCUGCGCUGUUUAGCGAAAACCCUAACCGUUCAGGUUUGGGACGUAUAUGAGGGACCUUAUGGCCGUCAUUGUUCACCCUAGUCCUCUGAGAGAAACCCUAAUUCGAUUGUGAGCAUCUGGAGCAAGGUAGAAGACCAUUGUUGAUUUUGGAAGUGUUGUUUUGCAAGGAAGAGGAGGCUUGGUCAAGGGAACCACAGGAGAAGCCACGUUCUGAGGAUUAGGGACACAGAGAGCACGUUAUUCAGUUAAUAUUUCGAGUUGCAUUCUUCUAUGUUGAUGUGUAUAUGGAUUUAGGGUUUAUUGAACCCUUUUGUGGCUAGAUUGAGUGUUACCUUAGUCCCCCAAACGAUUGGAACCCUGUAUUGGGGUCUUUGGAAGUCCAGAAUGUCCCAUGCCUGAGCAUUUCGGGAAUCAAUGGAGGUUUUGGAUUGGAAUCCUUAUUCCUUAGGUCAAAAUGUAAAUUAUGAGUCAUGGGGUGUAUUAUGAGCACCGAAAUGAGGACCUUACGUGAUGAAUCAGUCUAGGAAGGCCAGACCUAUGAAUGGUCGGAGCAGUUCUGACCUUAGAAAGCAGUUUGAGCGGUUGCAUGGCAUGGACUCGCCGAGUCCGAUGAACAGACUCGGCGAGUAGCUUGAAGAUUAACUGGGACUCGUCGAGUUGUUCUUCAGACUCGGCGAGUUGAGUCGGGGUGGCCCCGCGAUUCUUCCAGGAGAAACUCGUCGAGUCAAGGAGGAUACUCGACGAGUAGAAAGGGAAUCUUAGAGAAUUGGUGAGGACGUCUAGACUCGCCGAGUCGCCCUAGCACUCGCCGAGUCAGGUCAAGUUGACCGUUGACCGUUGACCAGAGUUGACCUAUGUUUGACUUCUUAGGGAUAGUCAAACUUAGAAGAUAAAAGUGUUAAUAAGAGAUGUAUGAUGUUAUAGGGAGAUUGUAGCUCGGCGGAUCGAGCACGAGUGACUUCGGGAUUUGUUAGCUUUCGACAUUCACGAGGUGAGUCUUCUCACUAUACUGUACCCGGAAGGGUUUGACUGUGUGACCGGAAGGUCGGAUAUGAUAUGUGAUAUAUGUGCUAUAUGUGAUAAGUUAAUUGUUAUGCGUGCUAUGUAUGUUUAUGUGGGCCGGAAGGCAAUAUGUUAUGGGCCGGAAGGCGAUUAUGUUAUGGGCCGGAAGGCGUUGUGUUGUGGACCGGAAGGUCGGCGUGGGUAGGACCGGAAGGUUUACCCAGCAGGGACGGAAGUCCCCUGAGACACAUGGACCGGAAGGUCAGGGCCUGGAAAGGCGUAUGUGCGUAAGUUGUAUUUUGGGGAACUCACUAAGCAUUUAUGCUUACAGUUGUUAUGUAUGUGUUUCAGGUACUAGCGAGGACCGUGGGAAGGCGCCGGCGUGAUAUGUACACACUGGAAGAUGUUUAGUGAUCUUGGGAUUUAGAUGAUUUGUAUUUUGACAUGACACUUGAAAUGUUUAUGCCUUGUUUUGAAUGAAAAUACUAUAUUUUGAAAUGAAAAAUUUGUUUGAAAAUUUACGGUGUUACAAAUUGGUAUCAGAGCCUUGGUUUGAGGGAUUCGGGUGCACCUUUGGGCGUAACUGAACUCAAACCGAGGAUUUGAGGAAAACUUUUGAAAUAAAAGGCAUAAAAUUUUGUAAAUAAUUUUGUGGUAAACAAGAAAGAAGCAGUGUGUACGAUCAGUCAGCGCCCGAACGGUAAAGAUCCCCAAAAUACCUUACAAUAUAAUGUUAAGACAUAAGAUAUGAUAUGAAUUGCUAUGCAUGCUAGAAGACUAGGUAUUCAUGAUAGGACUAGAGUGGCCUGAUUUAUGAUGCCUUAGUCUAGGGAAGUUUGCCGA
rnacentral:lncRNA from 1 species